UUGUUUUUGUUUAAUUUUUGUAUUUUCUUUAUUUUAUGUUUCUUCGUUUUUUUUAACUAUUUUAUCUAUUUUAUAUAUAUAGGUUGUAUCUUCUCUAGUUUUGAUUUUUUAUUUUUUAUUUUUAUUUAUCUAUUUUUUUGUAUUUUUUAUGUAUUAUUUGCUUUUCUUUUCUUUUUUCCUGUUUUUAUAUAUAUUUUUUUCUUUUUUCUUUGUAUUUUUUUUUUUUUUAUCCAUUUGUUCUGAAAUGAUCUUCUCUUUUUCCCAUGUUUCCCUUUAUACCUUUUUUUAUUUUGAUUGUCUUUUUUCGAUUUUUUAGUAUUUAUCUACUGUUUUCUAUUUGUUGUUUUUUUGUUUAUAUAUUAAAAAGGAUUUGUAUUUGUUAUUUCAUUUUUUUCUAUAAUUUUAUUUUUUCUAAAUUUUUUCUUUCAUUUUCAUUUUUCUUUUUUAAUGGUGCUUGAAGUUUCAUAUUUUUGUUUUUUAUGUUUUAAAUUGUGUGUAUUCUUUUUUUUACAGUUUCUUUCUUUUUUCUGGUUUUAUGUUUUUAUUUUUAAGAAUGUUGAUUAUUCUCUUUUUUUAUUUUAUUUUUAUUUUCUUAUUUAUUAUUUUUUUUCGUUUAUUAUGUUUACUUUUCUGUGUUUUUUCUUUUUAUCGACAAUGUUUUCUUUUUGAAUUUUUAACUAUUUUAUUUUUUUCUAUUUGUAUUGUUAUCUCUUUUUUUUCCUCGCUUUAUCCUUUCUUCCUUUUUUAUUUUUUAUUUUCUUAUUUUUUUCGUAUUUUUUGGAUUCUAUAUUUUAUCUAUUUUUUUUUAUGUUUUUUCAGUUAUAUAUAAAGAAAUUUUUAUCUUUUUUAUUGUAUCUAUAUUUUUCUAUUGAGUUUAUUUUCUUUUUAUUAUGUUUUUUAAUUUCUUUCCCUAUUUUCUGCUUCUUUCCUUUUUUAAAUUUUUGUUAUCUACUUUUUUACCUCUUUUUUAUUUUUUUAUUUUUUUUGGUUAUAUAUGUAUAUAUAUUAAUAUCUUCUCUUUUUUUAUUUUAUCUUCUUUUGUUUGUAUUUUUAUUUGUUUAUUUAUUUAUUUAUUUAUCUUUUGUUUUGUUUUUUCUCUGUUUUUAUUUACCUUUGUUUUCAUAUUUUUUUAGUUUUUUGUUUUAAUUUUUUAACUGUUUUUAGUGUUUUUCCUUUUUUGUUUUUAAUUUUUUAUCUAUUUUUUUUUCUUUUUUCCUCUUUUAUCUAAUUUUUUUAUAUUAUUAUCUUCUCUUUUUUUUUCUUUUUUUUUUCCUUUUUUUGUUUUUUCUUUUCUUAAUUUUUUUUCAAGUUUUCCUUGUUUUAUCUACUUUUUUAUUUUUAUUUUUGUUGUUAGCUUAAAAUUUUGUAUCUUUUUUUUAUCUAAAUUUUUUUCCUUUCAUUUUACAUUUUUUCGUGUUUUAAAAUUUUUUUAUCUUCUUUCUUUUUCUGUUUUUUAAUUUUAUAUAUAUACUCUAUAGAUAGAUAGAUAGAUAGAUAGAUUGAUAUGUUCUCUCUUUUUUGUAUUUUGUAUUUUAUUUCUUUAUGUAUUUUGCUUUUCUUUUGGUUGUUUUCCUCUUUUUAUCUAUAUAUAUUUUAUUUUAUUUUGCCUUCUUCUGUUUUUAAUUUUUUAAUUAUUUUUAUUUUUUUCCUCUUUGUUAUCUAUUUUUUCUAUUUGUAUUGCUAUUUUCUCUUUUUUUCUGUUUUUUUCCUUUAUUCUUUUUUUUAUUUUUUAUUUUUCUUAUUUUUUCUACUUUUUCUGUUUUUCUAUUUUUCUGUUUUUUCUGUUUAUAUAUAAAUAGUUUGUGAUCUUUUUUUCUUUUAUUCUUUUUUCUUUUUUUUUCAACAUUUUGUCCUUUCAGUUCAUUUUUUUCAUUUUCCUGUUUUUUCAUGUUUUAAAUUUUUGAACUGGUUUUUUUUUUUUUUUUUACCAGUUUUAUCUAUUUUUUUCUGAUUAUAUAUUUGUUCAUCUUCUUUUUUCCCUUUUCCCUUCUUUCUUUUUUAUUUCUUUUUUUCGUGUUUUCCUUUAUUCCUUGUUUUUAUUUGUAUCUACUUUUUUCCUAUUGUCUUUGUUUUUGUUCAUCUUUUCUUCAAUUUUUUGUUUUUAAUUUCAUUUUUCUUUUUGUUUUUCUUUUUUUUCUUGAUUUUUUCUGUUUUGUUUUCUAUUUUAAACUAUUUUAACAGUUUUUUCAUUUUUUCCCUUGACUUUUAUACCUGUUAACACCUACCAAUGUAUUGAGGUCAAUUGUCCAGAUGUUAGUCACAUUUACGUCUUUGCACUUUGGUUUCAUCCCGUAAUAAUAAACAUACUAAUUUUGAAAAUAUUUUUGACUUGAUUUUGAGGGUACAGCGGCCAUUGUGUCUAGUAUUUGGUAACACAUCAAUUUUUAGUGACUUGUUAAAGGGCUGCUUCCGCAGCAACCAAAUUUCCGGUACAGUUAAUUUGAGCCCUAAACAGCAUUUGAAAACUUUUUUUGCACUCAAAACCUUGACUUUAAAACUGCAUUUUCCUGUACUCAAAACCCUCAAAAUCUUACGGUUACAGUGAGACUUGUUUUGGUUCAAGUUGUUUUCUUGCAAUUCCACCCCCAUUGUAGUUACUGUGAAUUACAAAGUUAGACAACACUGCGGAAAAUUGCUGCACUAGUAAAAACGGCGUUUGGGGGGAAUUUGAAGGGGUUAUUUAACCAUAUCGAAAAGUUAUGAGAUUGUAGGAGUUAUUAACCAAGCCUAAAUUCACAAGAGUAGUUAUGUUCCAAUACGUACUGGUUGCAAAAAUCUGAUUUUAUUAAAAAAAAUGGUUGGAUGCCCUAUCGGAGUUGGAAGAUAACAGUCUAGUUUCACCCACACUGUUAAUAAUUCGAAACUUCGAAUAGUUUUAUGGCCAAAACAUUGAGUAGUGAUCAAGCCUUUCAAAGUUGCUGACUUUUAUUUUAUUUCGUGUGGAAGUGUUUUUGUAAUAUGGUUUUGUAUUGGAAUUUAGAAAUCACCCUACUUAAGUUGUAUAAAUCAACUUAUGUUAAGUUGUAUAUCAAGAAGUUGCCUGAUGGUGGUGGGUUUGGGUUUGGGGGUGUUAGCUCUGUGUAAGUGGUUGGGGGUGGGUUUUAUGGCAAUGAUUGGGUGGAGGGUGGCGGCCGCGGGGUUGUUAUUGGUUGGUGAUUGGCGAGGUAGAUUUGUAACCUGUACAUCAAACAAGGGCAAACAGUCUUCUGAUCAAAAGAGUAGAAAUCUCUAGUUUUCAACAGACUUUUCAGUGUUGAACCCACUAAAAAUAUUAGUUUUGAACCAUGACACUUGGAAAAAAAAAACACUCUUUUUUUACAUGUAUCUAAAGAACUAUACUUUAAGCAAAAGUUAGAUACUGUAUGAUUUGUUCCCAUGCUUUGAUGUAGGGGUAAAAAUAAAAUAGCUUCUCGAACUUAUGAUUCGUUUCGGAUCGUUAAAAAUUUGUUAAGAUUGGUUGUUACUUAAACAAACCAAACUUUAAACACUGUACGACUUGGCUCGAUAAGCUUAUAUGUUAAAAAUUCAAUCUAUCAAAUUCGGCUCGAUUAAUCUCUUUUAAUAUCGAUUCCUUAUAAACAAAAGCUAAGUUUGAAGCAUAUUGUUUAAAACGCGGUUAAGUCUAAAUCAACUGAACCUUUACUAUUUGACUCGUUAUAAGCCUACAUUACUUGAAUCAUUAAAACAAUGUCAUUGCAUACGCACUAUAUGUUUUAUCCAACUUCGUCAACCUUAAAAUUUUGAUGGUUUAGUUUUGCUUUUAUACACUGACUAUCCCAAUUUUAUAUUGUUUAAUAGCAUAAUUCUUUAAAAAACUCAACUUGUAAGUUAAUGUGAAGUUUUAUUUUUUUUUCUUAUUGCAAAAUUGGAUUAUACAAAUGUAGGUUUUGACAUUUCAUAUUGUUUUCUUCUUAUCCAUUGCUAAUUUAUGCAAGGAAAAAAUUAAUUUAACGCAAAAAAAAGAAUAUUAAAAUGUCUCUCUUAAUUAUAAUUAAGAAAAGUUAAUUAUCACAAUUUUGUAUGUAAGAGGGGAGAACAGCUUUUUUAUGACUCAAGUCAAGAUGAAUGAUUAAGUUACUGACUAAUAGAAAGAAAUUGGAAAGAAGUUUCCAGUUUUUGAGUGCAGCUACUAUAUCCUAGUGGAAGCAUAUGUUAAACAAAAAUCAAAUCUGUAGGGGUUUUCCUCCAGAUCUCUAAUAAUGAGGUGAAAUUGGGCCAUACAGACUAGAAGAUAAAAUAUUUGCACAUUUCAGUAUAACGGCUGUACUUAGCACUACUAUUUUACCCCUAUGGAAUGCAAGAAAUGCAUUAAAUUUUUAUUUUGAAGCUCUAGAUGCAGCCAUAGCGACUUCCAAAGUCGAAGAUUGACAUCAGAACUAGCUAUGUAACUUGGAGAAAGGGGAAAAGAAUCUAUUUGCCGUUAUUGGUUGGUUGGCUCGUUUCUUUAUGGUUCUUGUUCUUUUUCGUGUUCAAAGUCCUGGUGUUCUAUGAAAGAUUAAACUGGUUUUUACUUAGUUGACAUUUAUGCUUUGUAUUUUGGUGGUUGUGAAAUCAUAAAAAAUUACUUAUCCAAAAUUCACGCCCAGGCUUGUCAACACCAGACAUAUCGAUGACUAAUUUCUCUAUAUUUGGUGAACUUUGUCAGAGUCCUUGCCUAUGGGUAGGCUGUCCAAUUUGUUGCCUUCCAUGUUCAGGGUUAAACAUUUACACCUUACAUUGGGAAAGGUCACAACCUUUGACCUCCCAUAUCGACAGAACCCACCUUGUCAUCUGAAAUAUUUCAUUUAAUAGGACCCCACUAUGAAGAUAUCCAUGCAAAAUAUCUUGUUGAUCAAGAUUAUAGCCACACAAUUAGAUAAUUUUUGGUAUGCGGCGGGAAUGAUUUUCAAAGUAAAUUGUUUUGGUUUUUCAAACAAAUGCCAGUAUAGCUCACUUGAUUUUUGUGCAAUGGGUGAUCUUUUUAGAUGGCCUAAAAAUGACUGGGCGGGUCGGGUUAUGUAUCGUUUGUGUCUUGUGGCGCGAACNNNNNNNNNNNNNNNNNNNNNNNNNNNNNNNNNNNNNNNNNNNNNNNNNNNNNNNNNNNNNNNNNNNNNNNNNNNNNNNNNNNNNNNNNNNNNNNNNNNNGUUUUUUUCAUUUUUUCCUUGAACUUUUAUCCUGUUAACACCUACCAAUGUUAUUGGAGGUCAAUUGUCCAGAUGUUAAGUCACAUUUAACGUCUUGUCAACUUGGUUUCAUCCGUAAUAAUAAACUACUAAUUUUGAAAUAUUUUGACUGGUUUUGAGGGUACAGCGGCCAUUGUGUCUAGUAUAUUGGUACACAUCAAUUUUUAGUGACUUGUUUAAGGCUGCUUUCCGCAGCAACCAUUUCCGGUGACAGUUUAAUUUGAGCCCUAAAACAGCAUUUGAAACUUUUUUGCACUUCAAAACCUUGACUUUAAAACUGCAUUUUUCCUGACUUUCAAAACCCUCAAAUCUUACGUUACAGUUGAGACUUGUUUUGGUUCAAGUUGUUUUCUUGCAAUUCCACCCCCAAUUUUAUUUACUGUGAAUUUUCAAAGUUAGACAACACUGCUGGAAAUUGCUGCACUAGUAAAAAAGCCGUUUUGGGGGUGAUAUUUGAAGGGGUUAUUUAACCAUAUCGAAAAGUUAUGAUAUUUGUAGGAGUUAUUUAACCAAAUCCUAAAUUCACAAGAUUAGUUAUGUUCCAAAUACUUACUGGUUGUCAAAUCUGAUUUUAUUCAAAAAAAAUUGGUUGAUUGCCCUAUAGGAGUUGGAAGAUACCGUUAGUUUCACCAAUGUUAAUAAUUCGAACUUUCGAAUAGUUUUUAUGGCCAAACUUGAGUAUUUGUGGCUCAAGCCUUUCAAAGUUGCUGACUUUGAUUUAUGUCUUGGGUGGGAAGGUGAUUUGUAUAUGGUUUUUGUAUUGAGAUGAGAAUCACCCUACUUUAAGUUGUAUAAAUCAACUUAUGUUAGUUAGUAUAUCAAGAGUUGCCUGAUGGUGGUGGGUGGGGGUGGGGGGGUUAGCUGGCUGUGGAGGGGUGGGGGGGUUUUUGGGGGGGGGGUUUUUUUUAUGGCAAUGCUGGGGGCGGGUGCGCCGCGGGGUGGUUAUUGGUUUUGGUGCUCCUGGCGGAGGUAGAUUUGUAACCCUUGUAUCAUCAAACAAGGCAAAAGUAUUCUGAUCAAAAGAGUAUAAAAUCUCUAUUUUUACACAGACUUUCAGUGUGAAACCCAUAAAAAUAUGAAGUUUUGAACCAUGACACUUGAAAAAAACACUCUUGUUUACAUGGUAUUAUAGAAACUAUACUUGGCAUACCAAAAGUUCGGAUACUGUAUGAUUUGUUCCCAUUCAUUGAUGUCUUGUAAAAUUAAAUAACUUCCUCGCCUUAGAUCGUGUUCGGAUCGUUCAAAAAUUUGUUUAAGAUUUGGUUUGUUACUUAAACAAACCAAACUUUAACACUGUACUACUUGGCUCGAUAAGCUUAUUAUGUUUAAAAAAUUCAAUCUACUCAAAUUCGGCUCGAUUAAAUCUCGUUUAAUAUCGAUUCGCUUCAUAAACAAGCUAAGUUUGAGCAUAUUGUUAAAACUCGUUAAGUCCUAAAAUCAAACUUGAACACUUUACUAUUUGACUCGUUAUAAGCCCUACAUUAAUGGAAUUCAUUAAAACAAUGCAUUGAUAAGCACUAUAUUUUUAUCCAACUUAGUCACCGUAAAAUUAUUGAUGGGUUAGUUCUUGCUUUCUACACAUGACUAUCCAAAUUUUAUAUUGUUUUAGCAGAAUUCUUUUAAAAAUCAACUUGUAAGUUAAUUGUGAAGUUUGAUUUUUUUUUCUUAUUGCAAAUUGAUGUAUACAUGUAUGUUUGACCAUUGUUCAUAUGUUUUCGUAUCACUGACUAAUUUAUCAAAGAGGAAAAUUAAUUGGUAACGCAAAAAAAAGAAUAUUAAAUGUCUCUCUUAAUUAUAAUUAGAAAAGUUAAUUAUCAAAAUUUAGUGAUGUAAAGAGGGGGAGAACAGCUUAUUUAUGACUCAAGUCAAGACUGAAUUGAUUGAAGUUACAUGACUAAUAGAAAGAAAUUGAAAGAAGUUUCAAAGUUUGAGUGCAGCUACUAUAGCCUUAUGUGGAAGCAUAUGUUAAACAAAAAUCAAAUCUGUAGGGGUUUCCAGACUCUGAAUAAUGAGGGGUGAAUGGGCCUACAGAAUAGAAAACGAUAAAAUAUUUUGCACAUUUCAGUAUACCGGCUGUACUUAGCAGCUACUAUUUACCACCUAUGGAAUGCAAGAAAUGCUUAAAUUUUUAUUUAUGAAGCUCUAGAUGCAGCCAUAGCGACUUCUAAAGUCGAAGAUUACAUCAGAACUAGGCUAUGUACUUGGAGAAAGGUGGAAAAGAAUGCUAUUUGCCGUUAUGGUUGGUUGGCUCUUUUCUUUAUGUUUCUUGUUCUUUCGGUUCAAGUCCUGGUGUUCUAUGAAGAUUUAACUGUUUUUACUUAGUUGACAGUUAUGCUUGUAUUUUGGUGGUUGUGAAUUCAAUAAAAAAUUUACUUAUCCAAAAAUUCACCCCAGGCUUGUUCAAAAACCAGAAUAUCGAUGACUAAUUUCUCUAUAUUUGGUGAACUUUGUAGAAGUCCUGCUAUGGGUAGGCUGUCCCAUUUGUUGCCUUCCAUGUUCAGGGUUAAACAUUUACACCUUGACAUUGGGAAAGGCACACCUUUGACCUCCAAUAUCGACAGAACCCAACUUGGUAAUCUAAAUAGUUCAUUUUAUAGGACCCACUAUGAAGAUAAUCCAUGCAAAAUAUCUUGUUGAUCAAAGAUUAGUAGCCACACAAUUAGAUAAUUUUUGUAUGCGCGGGAAUGAUUUUCAAAGUAAAUUGUUUGUUUUUUCAAAACAAAUGACAUUAUAGCUCAACUUGAUUUUUGUGCAUGGAUGAUCUUUUUAGAUGGCCCUACAAAAUGACUGGGCCGGGUCGGGUUAUGUACGGUUUGUGUCUUUGUGGCGCGAACCCACUUUGUGGAGGCAAAAUGUCCUUCAACUCCCUUGGCUGAUGACUUCUCACUUUCAGCCAUUCUGUUUUUUUGGGAAAUGGUUUUACAUAAAUAAAAUUCAUACAUAAACUCUUGCAAUAAUAACGUGAUAAUAACACUUUAUGGGUAUUUUGUUUAAAAGUAAAAGACUCACAUUAUGUUCCGUCAUUCUAUAUAAAAAUAUUGUAUAAAUUUUAUGUUUGUAUAUUAUUAUCAUUUUUUUGUACAUAGUGAACAACUUUAAUUAUUUUGAUGAAAGUUUUUAUUUUUCUAGUUUGUUUUAACUAGAGAAACCUAAAAGAAAAAAAAAAUUAUUUUCCAAUUUAUUUUGAAUAAAACAAUUGAAAAGAGUAAAAGAUUUUAACUGAAAACUUAAAAUUAUUCACAUCUUUCUUUUUUAAAAUGUAUCAUAGCUUUGGUUUUUAGAAAGUUUCGGUUAUUAGAAGGUUUUGGGUUCAAAUCUCUCUUUUGCAUUUUGCUUCUCCUCUUUGCAUUAUGCUUACCUUUAUAUGAAUAUUUGUGUCUUCAUAUGCAAUACAAGAUUGCAGGUAAGGAAGGGUAUUGGAUAGCAUGAUAUGCAUCCGUGGGCAUAUUUCCUAACGGCUUUAAGACAAUUGGUGAGAUAACAAACUGCCUAGUAGCUAGCAGACACUUAGAUCCAUGUUCAAUAUGUCUUCAGAGGCCAAUUUAUUAUCACAGAAGCUAUAACACAGAAUAAAUUAAGGCACAAUUGAGAACUCGUGAACUUAAAAUUCAUCAGAGAAAAGAAGAAUAGAGAUGAUUGAAUGAAGACACAUUACUUAUCACCAGGUUUUCAGAAUCAACUUUCUCAACACUUUCUUUCCCAAGGGGAAUUAGGAAAUUCUUACAUACCACUUGUAUACUUUUGAAUCCGCACACCAGUUAAGAUACAAAUAUUGUACACUGCAUGUUUCGGUCAUGCUGAGAAAGCAAAAGAGCAAGCAGUCUAUUGGGAAAAACAGAAAUAAAUACAAGCACAAAUGGCAUAACAGCGCCACCAGAAUUACAUGCCUCAUAGUCGCCACCAGAAUUACAAUCUUUAGAUGCGGCAAUAAAUAAUAAAAGAAGUAAACUAGGUUUCACCGAGAAAGUGGAGUGAUCCGUUUC
rnacentral:lncRNA from 1 species